GCCCGCAUGGCUCAGUGGUAGAGCGCAUCACUAGUAAGUUUAACCUUCCUCCUUAGCAAGGGACUUCUAGGUCAAUGAUGAGGUCGUCAGUUCGAUUCUGGCUGUGGGCA